rnacentral:rRNA from 11 species
UACCUGGUUGAACCUGCCAGAAGGGCAAGCUAAGAUUAAGGAUUAAGCCAUGCAUGCCAGGUAUAAGCUAAUACACAGGUGAAACUGCGAACGGCUCAUUAAAUCAGUUGAAAUGUCUCGUGCUUUAUUCGUAGUCGGCUAAUACGGGCAACUCUCUUACUAAUCGUGCUUCGUUACAUCGGUAGUGAGAGCGAUCUCGGGUUGAUUUAUGUUGUAAAAAUGACUGUUAGGCAGGCACGAUCAGCUUCUGACGCAUCAUUAAGUAGGAGAAGUAAAGGUUAUCCUAUGAGUUCACGCGUACCGGAGAAUUAGGGUUCGACUCCGGAGAAUGAGCAUGAGAGACGGCUCAUAGUUCUAAGGGAGGCAGCAGGCGCGGAAAUUGCCCAAUGUACAAACGUACGAGGCAGUGACGAAAAAUCUUGAGCCGGCUUAGGCCGGUAUUAAGCUGAGCGAGGCGCACACACCCUCGCGAACGCAAUUAGUGGGAGAGCAUGGUGCCAGCAGCCGCGGUAAUUCCAUCACUGAUAGCUUUCUCUUACGUUGUUGCAGUUAAAAAGCUCGUAGCCGUUGUUAGCCCCGCGUGUCACUUUGAGAAAAUCGGAGUGUUCAUUACAGGGAAACCGCUGCACAGUACAGCAAAGAAUGACAUUGCUCCCCGGCGACGGGGGGUACGGAGUAUAUGGCGGCGCGGGACUGAUAGUAUUUGGUGGGGACAGGUGAAAUAGGAUGAUCCACCAAGGACUUUCAACAGCGAAGGCAGUCGGUAAGCGCCGUCCAGUUGGUCAAGAGCGAAAGUGUGAGGAUAGACGAUGAUUAGAAACCGUUUUAUUUCACGCCUUAAACGAUACCAUCUCAGAAGCGGGCUCAGAAGUCCGCAUCUCAAGGGAAACCGCAAGUUUCGGGUUCUGGGGGAAGUAUGAUUGCAAGAUUGAAACUUGAAGGUAUUGACGGAAAGAUACCACAAGACGUGGAGUCUGCGGCUCAAUUUGACUCAACACGCAAAUCUUACCAGACCCAGAUGCUUUACGGAGCAACAGAUUAAGAGUUCUUUUGCGAUUGGGCAGUUGGUGGUGCAUGGCCGCUCCUAGUUCGUGGUGUAAACUGUCUGCCUUAUUGCGUUAACGAGCGAGACAACCACCCCCAGCCUGGGGGGAGCGCCUGCGUUGAGCAGGACGAACGUGGUUGCUCUAGCAGGUCUGUGAUGCCCUUAGACACUCUGGGCCGCACGCGUACUACAAUGUCGGCUGCACAGCGUCGCCCGCCUGAAGGCCCGGCCAUUCGUGUGAACCGCCGACGUGGUAGGGAUCGGAGAUUGGAAUUUUUCUCGUGAACGAGGAAUGUCUUGUAGGUCUGCGUUAUUAGCGCGGGGCUGACUAUGUCCCUGUCUUUUGUACACACCGCCCGUCGCUCCUACCGACUUGGAUGUUUUGGUGAGUUGUCCAGAGUGCGCGUCGCGGCAUGCACGAAGUUCUGCGAACCCCAAUGUCUGGAGGAAGGAGAAGUCAUAACAAGGCUGCUGUAGGGGAACCUGCAGCCGGAUCAUUAGUGCC